GAUGAACGCUGGCGGCGUGCCUAACACAUGCAAGUCGAGCGGCAGCGAGGGGUGCUUGCACCCUGCCGGCGAGCGGCGGACGGCUGAGUAACGCGUGGGAACGUGCCCCAAAGUGAGGAAUAACUGCCCGAAAGGGUAGCUAAUACCGCAUAUUAUCUUCGGAUCAAAGGAUUUAUCCGCUUUGGGAGCGGCUCGCGUCGGAUUAGGUAGUUGGUGAGGUAAUGGCUCACCAAGCCGACGAUCCGUAGCUGGUCUGAGAGGAUGACCAGCCAGACUGGAACUGAGACACGGUCCAGACUCCUACGGGAGGCAGCAGUGAGGAAUCUUCCACAAUGGGCGAAAGCCUGAUGGAGCAACGCCGCGUGCAGGACGAAGGCCUUCGGGUUGUAAACUGCUUUUAUAAGUGAGGAAUAUGACGGUAACUUAUGAAUAAGAAUCGGCUAACUACGUG
rnacentral:rRNA from 1 species